UGGGGAAUAUUGGACAAUGGGCGAAAGCCUGAUCCAGCCAUGCCGCGUGUGUGAAGAAGGUCUUCGGAUUGUAAAGCACUUUAAGUUGGGAGGAAGGGCAGUAAGCGAAUACCUUGUUGUUUUGACGUUACCGACAGAAUAAGCACCGGCUAACUCUGUGCCAGCAGCCGCGGUAAUACAGAGGGUGCAAGCGUUAAUCGGAAUUACUGGGCGUAAAGCGCGCGUAGGUGGUUCGUUAAGUUGAAUGUGAAAGCCCCGGGCUCAACCUGGGAACUGCAUCCAAAACUGGCGAGCUAGAGUAGGGCAGAGGGUGGUGGAAUUUCCUGUGUAGCGGUGAAAUGCGUAGAUAUAGGAAGGAACAACAGUGGCGAAGGCGACCACCUGGGCUCAUACUGACACUGAGGUGCGAAAGCGUGGGGAGCAAACAGG
rnacentral:rRNA from 1 species